GAUGAACGCUGGCGGCGUGCUUAACACAUGCAAGUCGAACGAUUGAAGCUGGAGCUUGCUCCGGCCGAUUUAGUGGCGGACGGGUGAGUAACGCGUGGGUAACCUGCCUCAAAGAGGGGGACAACAGUUGGAAACGACUGCUAAUACCGCAUAAGCCCACGGGUCGGCAUCGACCAGAGGGAAAGGAGCAAUCCGCUUUGAGAUGGCCUCGCGUCCGAUUAGCUAGUUGGUGAGGUAACGGCCCACCAAGGCGACGAUCGGUAGCCGGACUGAGAGGUUGAACGGCCACAUUGGGACUGAGACACGGCCCAGACUCCUACGGGAGGCAGCAGUGGGGAAUAUUGGACAAUGGGCGAAAGCCUGAUCCAGCGACGCCGCGUGAGCGAUGAAGUAUUUCGGUAUGUAAAGCUCUAUCAGCAGGGAAGAAAACGACGGUACCUGACUAAGAAGCCCCGGCUAACUACGUG
rnacentral:rRNA from 1 species